rnacentral:rRNA from 1 species
GACGAACGCUGGCGGCGUACCUAAUACAUGCAAGUCGAGCGCAGGAAGCCGUCUGAACCCUUCGGGGGGACGACGGUGGAAUGAGCGGCGGACGGGUGAGUAACACGUAAAGAACCUGCCCAUAGGUCUGGGAUAACCACGAGAAAUCGGGGCUAAUACCGGAUGUGUCAUCGAACCGCAUGGUCCGAUGAUGAAAGGCGCUUCGGCGUCGCCCAUGGAUGGCUUUGCGGUGCAUUAGCUAGUUGGUGGGGUAACGGCCCACCAAGGCGACGAUGCAUAGCCGACCUGAGAGGGUGAUCGGCCACACUGGGACUGAGACACGGCCCAGACUCCUACGGGAGGCAGCAGUAGGGAAUCUUCCACAAUGGACGAAAGUCUGAUGGAGCAACGCCGCGUGAACGAUGAAGGCUUUCGGGUCGUAAAGUUCUGUUGUAAGGGAAGAACAAGUGCCGCAGGCAGUGGCGGCACCUUGACGGUACCUUGCGAGAAAGCCACGGCUAACUACGUGCCAGCAGCCGCCGUAA